ACAGAGCACGCACGCCAUGCAGGCUUACCCACAAGAGGAACCCACGGUCGACAGUGUCAUCUGCUGAGAAGAGACAGGAUGGUAAGGAUGUGAUGUCUGAAGCUGCCGCAUUCAACUUGCCACCAUAAGGGAGCUAGCCUAAUGUGACAAGGAUGGCACAGUAGAAAGACAGAAAGAACCUGGAUCCUUGAGGACCCUGAUGAGCUACUGAAGUAACCAUGCUCUAUCUCAACUCUUAGGGGACUGGUGAGGAGCUCAGCGGCGGGGACUCCAAGGCGUCUGCGAGAGAGGCGGACCAAUCCUCAGAGUUCAACCAGCGCUGGGGAAGCUGCAAGGAAACGUGGAACACGACCUCUAUCUAGUGAAGGUCAUUUAUGUGGAAGCUGAGGAUUUAAGGCGUUGGUGGUGGGAAGGGCUGAAGCCCUCCAGGACGAGGGAGGCGGCUAUUGAGCGCCACCAUCUGGGCUGAACUUGAGCAGGCAAAGCUCCACCCACCCUGUAGCUUUUCAGUGCGCUUUUCUUGGGGGACCCAACUCCUCUGCUUUUGGAAGCUAAAGUAGCUGGAGAACCCUUGAAAAUCAAUGAGUCCUGUGUCUACAUGACCUGCGUGGCUUGACUGUGCGUUUUGGAUAUCUGUGUUCUUUACCCUUCCAACCAACCCUCCCUGAGUGCCAUGCUCUGUGCUGAAAAUAUCUGGGUGAAUCUCUGACUCUGCCACAGUCCAUACUUCCUUGAGCACUGAGAAUAAUGAAAAUU